rnacentral:rRNA from 1 species
CCUACGGGAGGCAGCAGUAGGGAAUAUUGCUCAAUGGGGGAAACCCUGAAGCAGCAACGCCGCGUGGAGGAUGAAGGUUUUCGGAUUGUAAACUCCUUUUGUUAGAGAAGAUAAUGACGGUAUCUAACGAAUAAGCACCGGCUAACUCCGUGCCAGCAGCCGCGGUAAUACGGAGGGUGCAAGCGUUACUCGGAAUCACUGGGCGUAAAGAGCGCGUAGGCGGGAUAGCAAGUCAGAUGUGAAAGCCUAGGGCUUAACCAUAGAACUGCAUUUGAAACUGUUAGUCUAGAGUAUGGGAGAGGUAGGUGGAAUUCUUGGUGUAGGGGUAAAAUCCGUAGAGAUCAAGAGGAAUACUCAUUGCGAAGGCGACCUGCUAGAACAUAACUGACGCUGAGGCGCGAAAGCGUGGGGAGCAAACAGGAUUAGAUACCCGAGUAGUC